rnacentral:rRNA from 1 species
GGACUACUGGGGUAUCUAAUCCCGUUCGCUCCCCUGGCUUUCGUGUCUCAGCGUCAGCACAUCCCCAGCUGUCUGUUUUCACCUUUGGCGUUCCAAAUGAUAUCUACGCAUUUCACCGCUCCACCAUUUGUUCCGACAGCCCCUAGAUGGCUCAAGACGACCAGUAUACCAAGCAGUUCCACGGUUGAGCCGUGGGAUUUCACAAGGUACUUAGAAGUCCGCCUACACACGCUUUAAGCCCAGUGAUUCCGCCUAACGCUCGGCACCUCUGUCUUACCGCGGCUGCUGGCAC